GGCUGGAGAGAAGAGAGAGGAGAGGAGAGGGAGUAGGGCUGGAGAGAAGAGGGAGGAGAGGAGAGGGAGGGAGGAGGGCUGGAGAGAAGAGAGAGGAGAGGAGAGGGAGGAGGGCUGGAGAGAAGAGGGAGGAGAGGAGAGGGAGGAGGGCUGGAGAGAAGAGAGAGAGGAAAGGAGAGGAGAGGUAGGAGGGCUGGAGAGAAGAGAUAGGAAAGGAGAGGGAGGAGGGCUGGAGAGAGUAAAGGAGAGGGAGGAGGGCUGGAGAGAAGAGAGAGGAGGGAGGAGGGCUGGAGAGAAGAGAGAGAGGAAAGGAGAGGGAGGAGGGCUGGAGAGAAGAGAGAGGAGAGAAGAGGGAGG
ensembl:lncRNA